rnacentral:rRNA from 1 species
UACGGAGGAUCCAAGCGUUAUCCGGAAUCAUUGGGUUUAAAGGGUCCGUAGGCGGGCCUGUAAGUCAGUGGUGAAAUCUUUCGGCUCAACCGGAAAAUUGCCAUUGAUACUGCAGGCCUUGAAUUAUUGGGAAGUAACUAGAAUAUGUAGUGUAGCGGUGAAAUGCUUAGAUAUUACAUGGAACACCGAUUGCGAAGGCAGGUUACUAUCAAUACAUUGACGCUGAUGGACGAAAGCGUGGGGAGCGAACAGG